UACGUAGGGUGCAAGCGUUGUCCGGAAUUAUUGGGCGUAAAGAGCUCGUAGGCGGUUUGUCACGUCGGAUGUGAAAACUCGGGGCUCAACCCCGAGCCUGCAUUCGAUACGGGCAGACUUGAGUUCGGCAGGGGAGACUGGAAUUCCUGGUGUAGCGGUGGAAUGCGCAGAUAUCAGGAGGAACACCGGUGGCGAAGGCGGGUCUCUGGGCCGAUACUGACGCUGAGGAGCGAAAGCGUGGGGAGCGAACAGG
rnacentral:rRNA from 1 species